CAAUUAAAUUUGGUUUAAUAAUAAAAAAUUAUAUAUUUUUUAUGAACUUUAUAAAAAAUUUUACAGCAGAAAAUAAAAUUUAUUUAAUAAUAAAAAAUUAUUGAAAUUUAUAAUAAAUCUUAGCUAAUUUU
rnacentral:rRNA from 1 species